AGGAUCGCUACAAGAUCAAGGAAAAGCAAAGUUCUGAGAACGCCUUGAAGUUCAGCACCUGAAACUAAUGGAGAACAAAUUAUGAAUUACGGACAGAGAAGAAACCACCAAACCAGGCACAUUCCUAUCCUUCUUCCUGAAAGCUCCAUGAAUCUGUUCCAUUUAAUGUGAAUAUUCAGCACAAGUACAAAGACACAUCACUUCCAUAUGAAACUACAUGACCCAGCUAUAUAUAAAUAGUCGUCUUAUUGAGAAGAGUUAUCAGCACACCAUGUCAGACUGGUCAGACAACAACCCUAAUUCUUCAAGGUGCUCUUCAUGAUCCAGUUCAAACAGAAAUCUGUUUAUGAGUGGCUGUGUGAAGAGAGAGUAUUAUUUUAACAUUAAAAAGCCUGCAAAGCUGAAGAAAAGAGAAAA